rnacentral:rRNA from 1 species
GGGGAAUAUUGCACAAUGGGGGAAACCCUGAUGCAGCGACGCCGCGUGAGUGAAGAAGUAUUUCGGUAUGUAAAGCUCUAUCAGCAGGAAAGAAAAUGACGGUACCUGACUAAGAAGCCCCGGCUAACUAC